AUGGACCAUUCCAUCCCUUUUUCCCGUGCAUAUGCAUCGGACUCGGAUGACGAUGGUCCUGAUGAACAAGUUGAUGCGGAGGGGUUCACGGUGAAGGAGGCCGAAGCUUUCGAGAAGGUAUUUGGUCGGGAUCAUCGGACUACAUUGUUCAAGGAUGUUAGUCUCGCGGAUGAAGCCGUGGUAGAUGGUGGCCAAUGUGUACCUCUUGGGGUUAGGCCAAGCUUUCACCGUGAUUUGGUAGACGACAAGAACCGGAUUGCUAAAGGUUCUAAGUUCGACAGCUUGUUGGAUUUGAAGAUGUGGCUCGACAACUACUCGGUUACGCAUUAUCGUCCACACGAGGUGGUGCACUCGGACGUCAAUGUGCGCUACACGGUUGCAUGUGCAUGUGAAGAUGAAAAGGAGGUCCAACUUGGACUUACAAGAGGCCGUGGUGGUGGUAGAGGUCGUGGAAAGGAGGUCCAACAAGGAGUGGCAAGACGCCGUGGCGGUUGUCCGUGA
rnacentral:rRNA from 1 species